GCAGCCGCGGUAAUUCCAGCU
rnacentral:ncRNA from 3 species